rnacentral:RNase_P_RNA from 1 species
UAAGCAGGUCACCUUAUCGCUUUUUAAAGAGGAAAGUCCGGACACCAUAGUGCAGCAUAGCGGGUAACGCCCGUCCAUCGAAAGAUGAGGACCAGUGCAACAGAAAGAAAGUACAGUUCGGCUGUAGUGAAAUCAGGUAAACUCUAUGCGGUGAAACACUAUGUAAACCAAUAUUUUAGGGUUGCACGCUCUACAUUGGAGGGUAGGUGGCUAGAGGUCAAGGGUAACUUUGAUCCAAGAUAAAUGAUAAGGCUAGACAGAAUCCGGCUUAUGACCUGCUUUUUUC